UUCGCACUUAAAGUCUAAAAUUUUAUCUCUUACUCGACACUCUCUUUGCCUAAAUAUCACGCCAUUCUCUCUCUCUCCUUCUCUCUCUCUCUCCUGCGGUUCAGCGACCCAGCUUGACCACCACCAGGCGUAUAGUAUUUUAGCUAAAAUAAAAUACUAUUUUACUGGAAUAGUAUCAGGGCCGAGUGGGGUUGAAUAUUGGAAUGGAAGGUUCGUUUAUUGCGUUCUGGGGUGAGAGAUUUGAACCUGGUUAAGGAUAAUCUGGUGGUCAGGAACGCUUUUUGGGGUCGACGAAAAUGGCUCCUUUAAUGGGUUUCCCGUCACACCCAACAAGCUUUUUAUGCAAGAGGUACUGAUUCUCAUGCCCCUUUUAGUGUUCACCUUUGGUGGUUGUGUUUCAAACGAUUAGAGCUGAAUAUGGAGAAGGUUUUGAGACUUUUAGACCAGAUGGGCCUCUAAAGGUUGAUGUGGUUGUCCUGUUGGAAUCACAGAAUAGGAUUGGUGGUCGAGUUUAUACUGACUACUCAUUUGGUUUUCCUAUUGACCUGGGUGCAUCAUGGGAAAGUAAACCUCUCAUGAGAAAUUCGAGUGUCAUCUAUUUAUUAACUAUAAAACUUAUAUAUCAUACAUGAUACCUUAGGUUGAAUGGAGUUUGCAAGGAGAAUCCCUUGGCAUGAUUGAUUGGGAGACUAGGACUACCCUUAUACCGUACUAAUGAGGAUAACUCUGUGCUGUAUGAUCAUGAUUUGGAAAGGGAAUCACGUGCCUCCAGAGUUAGUCACUAAAAUUGGUGAAGUAUUUGAGAGCAUUUUGGAGGCA